rnacentral:rRNA from 1 species
AGCGAACGCUGGCGGCAGGCCUAACACAUGCAAGUCGAACGAACUCUUCGGAGUUAGUGGCGGACGGGUGAGUAACACGUGGGAACGUGCCUUUUGGUUCGGAAUAACUCAGGGAAACUUGUGCUAAUACCGAAUGUGCCCUUCGGGGGAAAGAUUUAUCGCCAUUAGAGCGGCCCGCGUCUGAUUAGCUGGUUGGUGAGGUAACGGCUCACCAAGGCGACGAUCAGUAGCUGGUCGGAGUGGAUGACCAGCCACACUGGGACUGAGGCACGGCCCAGACUCCUACGGGAGGCAGCAGUGGGGAAUCUUGCGCAAUGGGCGAAAGCCUGACGCAGCCAUGCCGCGUGAAUGAUGAAGGUCUUAGGAUUGUAAAAUUCUUUCACCGGGGACGAUAAUGACGGUACCCGGAGAAGAAGCCCCGGCUAACUUCGUG